CUGAUAUGAUGUAAAACUAUUUACCGAAGCACCAUGUGGCAUUAUUAACGAGCUUUUUAACACUGAUCAGU